rnacentral:tRNA from 1 species
GCUCCUGUAGCUCAGUUGGAUAGAGCGGCGGACUUCUAAUCCGUAGGUCGUAGGUUCGAUUCCUACCGGGGGCGCCA